rfam:Triticum aestivum genome assembly, contig: Triticum_aestivum_CS42_TGACv1_scaffold_129514_2BL
GUAUUAAUCCCUCCGCCCGAAAAUACUUGUCAUCAAAAUGGAUAAAAGGAGAUGUAUCUAGAUGUAUUUUAGUUCUAGAUACAUCCUUUUUUAUUCAUUUUGAUGACAAGUAAUUUCGGACGGAGGGAGUACAUA